rnacentral:rRNA from 1 species
UACGUAGGGUGCGAGCGUUAAUCGGAAUUACUGGGCGUAAAGCGUGCGCAGGCGGCUCGUUGUGUCCGUCGUGAAAGCCCCGGGCUUAACCUGGGAACUGCGAUGGAAACUAGCGAGCUGGAGUGUGGCAGAGGGGGUGGAAUUCCGCGUGUAGCAGUGAAAUGCGUAGAGAUGCGGAGGAACACCGAUGGCGAAGGCAGCCCCCUGGGCUGACACUGACGCUCAGGCACGAAAGCGUGGGGAGCAACAGG